UCUAGAUCUGAAAUCAACUGAGAUCA
rnacentral:rRNA from 1 species